rnacentral:rRNA from 1 species
AUUGAACGCUGGCGGCAGGCCUGACACAUGCCAGUCGAGCGGAUGAAGGGAGCUUGCUCCUGGAUUCAGCGGCGGACGGGUGAGUAAUGCCUAGGAAUCUGCCUGGUAGUGGGGGAUAACGUCCGGAAACGGGCGCUAAUACCGCAUACGUCCUGAGGGAGAAAGUGGGGGAUCUUCGGCCCUCACGCUAUCAGAAGGGCCUAGGUCGGAUUAGCUAGUUGGUGGGGUAAAGGCCUACCAAGGCGACGAUCCGUAACUGGUCUGAGAGGAGGAUCAGUCACACUGGAACUGAGACACGGUCCAGACUCCUACGGGAGGCAGCAGUGGGGAAUAUUGGACAAUGGGCGAAAGCCUGAUCCAGCCAUGCCGCGUGUGUGAAGAAGGUCUUCGGAUUGUAAAGCACUUUAAGUUGGGAGGAAGGGCAGUAAGUUAAUACCUUGCUGUUUUGACGUUACCAACAGAAUAAGCACCGGCUAACUUCGUG